GAUGAACGCUGGCGGCGUGCUUAACACAUGCAAGUCGAACGAUGAAGCCCAGCUUGCUGGGUGGAUUAGUGGCGAACGGGUGAGUAACACGUGAGUAACCUGCCCUUAACUCUGGGAUAAGCCUGGGAAACUGGGUCUAAUACCGGAUAGGAGCGCCUACCGCAUGGUGGGUGUUGGAAAGAUUUAUCGGUUUUGGAUGGACUCGCGGCCUAUCAGCUUGUUGGUGGGGUAAUGGCUCACCAAGGCGACGACGGGUAGCCGGCCUGAGAGGGUGACCGGCCACACUGGGACUGAGACACGGCCCAGACUCCUACGGGAGGCAGCAGUGGGGAAUAUUGCACAAUGGGCGAAAGCCUGAUGCAGCGACGCCGCGUGAGGGAUGACGGCCUUCGGGUUGUAAACCUCUUUCAGUAGGGAAGAAGCGAAAGUGACGGUACCUGCAGAAGAAGCACCGGCUAACUACGUG
rnacentral:rRNA from 1 species